rnacentral:rRNA from 1 species
UACGGAGGAUCCAAGCGUUAUCCGGAUUUAUUGGGUUUAAAGGGUGCGUAGGCGGACCCGUCAGUCAGUGGUGAAAGUUUGCGGCUCAACCGUAAAAUUGCCAUUGAAACUGCGGGUCUUGAGUGUAAAUGAGGUAGGCGGAAUGUGUUGUGUAGCGGUGAAAUGCUUAGAUAUAACACAGAACACCAAUUGCGAAGGCAGCUUACUGGGAUACAACUGACGCUGAGGCACGAAAGCGUGGGGAUCAAACAGGAUUAGAUACCCUGGUAGUCCACGCAGUAAACGAUGAAUACUAGCUGUAUGCGAUAUACUGUAUGUGGCAAAGCGAAAGCGUUAAGUAUUCCACCUGGGGAGUACGUUCGCAAGAAUG